GAUGAACGCUGGCGGCGUGCCUAAUACAUGCAAGUCGAGCGAACAGACGAGGAGCUUGCUCCUCUGACGUUAGCGGCGGACGGGUGAGUAACACGUGGAUAACCUACCUAUAAGACUGGGAUAACUGCGGGAAACCGGAGCUAAGACCGGAUAAUAUAUUGAACCGCAUGGUUCAAUAGUGAAAGACGGUUUUGCUGUCACUUAUAGAUGGAUCCGCGCCGCAUUAGCUAGUUGGUAAGGUAACGGCUUACCAAGGCAACGAUGCGUAGCCGACCUGAGAGGGUGAUCGGCCACACUGGAACUGAGACACGGUCCCGACUCCUACGGGAGGCAGCAGUAGGGAAUCUUCCGCAAUGGGCGAAAGCCUGACGGAGCAACGCCGCGUGAGUGAUGAAGGUCUUCGGAUCGUAAAACUCUGUUAUUAGGGAAGAACAAAUGUGUAAGUAACUAUGCACGUCUUGACGGUACCUAAUCAGAAAGCCACGGCUAACUACGUG
rnacentral:rRNA from 1 species